UCUGCGCGGCUUGCAACAGGUGCCCCCAGCGCUAUGCGCGUGCGGGGUGAAACAGGGAAGUCGGUGCGUUGUGCGUGUGUACGCCAACCAUUCCGACGCUGCCCCCGCAACGGUAAGUGAGUCAAACGCCGCAACUGCCACUGUGCUGUAUGCAUGGGAAGGCGCGGCUUGGAACCUGUUCACGAUCUGCUGCGCGUCGGCGCUACUGCGUUAAAAACAAGCUCGGAAUGCUCAUUUACAGCUCGUAAACUCCGCUUCCUCGCUUAUUUUUGCCUUGUAUCGCUCUAGCUCGCGAGAUCGUGGACAGGCUCUAAGAACCUAUUGCUAGGUUCGCUCACAAGCCCGGAGACCGGCCUGUCGCAGUCCACAGCA
rnacentral:ncRNA from 2 species